CGACCCCAGGUCAGGCGGGGCUACCCGCU
rnacentral:rRNA from 1 species